rnacentral:rRNA from 1 species
GUGAGGAAUAUUGCGCAAUGGAGGCAACUCUGACGCAGCCAUGCCGCGUGCAGGAAGAAGGCGCUACGCGUUGUAAACUGCUUUUAACCGGGAAGAAACCCCAGGACGUGUCCUGGGUUGACGGUACCGGAGGAAUAAGCACCGGCUAACUUCGUGCCAGCAGCCGCGGUAAUACGAAGGGUGCAAGCGUUAUCCGGAUUCAUUGGGUUUAAAGGGUGCGUAGGCGGAGCGUUAAGUCAGUGGUGAAAUCCUGCAGCUUAACUGUAGACUUGCCAUUGAUACUGGCGCGAUUGAGUGCGCUUGAAGUGGGCGGAAUGUGACGUGUAGCGGUAAAAUGCUUAGAUAUGGCACAGAACACCAAUUGCGAAGGCAGCUCACUAAGGCGAUACUGACGCUGAGGCACGAAAGCGUGGGGAUCGAACAGGAUUAGAUACCCGUGUAGUCC